AGCAAACGGCAUUCAAUAUAAUAAACAUCCAGCAGCACAGAUCCACCACAGCACCAACAUGCACGGACGUCAUAUAGCCAGGCUUAUAUAGAAGAAACAUUGCAUUUUCAGAAAACGAUGGAAACAUAUAUAGCAUCGCUAAGAACAAUCAAUUUUGAGAAACUACAUCUGUAUUAGCUAAGAACAUACAAAAUUAGUGAAAACUCGACAACACGACAAUUGAAGGUAUUCUCAACGAGAGCUUUAAUAGGAGUAAUAUGUAAGAUUAAGACACAUGCAACUGUGCAACCACUAAACAUAAAUCUGCAGGCCAAAAAUUCUUUUCUAUUUGCUCUCUCCUAAAAUUGUAGACUUCCUUCAUAUACGGUCUUAUAACUUACCUGUAGAUAUAACAUGAUGCCUCAGCCUGUAUUCUGCCUUUGAGGUGUGGAAACAGAUGUUGUACCUUGCUCAAUACACUGCAUAGAAAUUUAUGACAAAAGAAACUAAUAUAGCAUGAAGGAAAGUGGAGAACUAGAAUCAAUGUAUAGUAUGCAUAUAAAAGAGCAUGAGUCGUAUUUUCUUUCAGAACUUCAAAGGAUAUUAUUUUUGUAUUGUUUAAUGUUUUUUCUGCAUAAAUACACUCCAGCUAUUUAUAGAUGUUAUUCACAACUUCUUUUCCUUCCCCUUAAGCAACUAUAUCCCUUUUUGUACUUACCACAUAC
rnacentral:lncRNA from 1 species